GUGGCGCACGGGUGAGUAACGCGUGGGAACCUGCCCUGAGGUUCGGAAUAACGAUUGGAAACGAUCGCUAAUACCGGAUGAGCCCUGAGGGGGAAAGAUUUAUCGCCUUGGGAGGGGCCCGCGUCCGAUUAGCUUGUUGGUGUGGUAACGGCGCACCAAGGCUUCGAUCGGUAGCUGGUCUGAGAGGAUGAUCAGCCACACUGGGACUGAGACACGGCCCAGACUCCUACGGGAGGCAGCAGUGGGGAAUAUUGGACAAUGGGGGCAACCCUGAUCCAGCAAUGCCGCGUGUGUGAAGAAGGCCUUAGGGUUGUAAAGCACUUUCAGUCGUGACGAUGAUGACGGUAACGACAGAAGAAGCCCCGGCUAACUCCGUGCCAGCAGCCGCGGUAAUACGGAGGGGGCAAGCGUUGUUCGGAAUUACUGGGCGUAAAGGGCGCGUAGGCGGCCAAGUCAGUCAGGCGUGAAAGCCCAGGGCU
rnacentral:rRNA from 1 species